GGCUCGGCGGCGGAGGGUGGGCCGCCGUCACCUGACCGCCCGCCCCCGCCCCCCGCGAGUAAGGGGCGGUGGUAGCGUCUGCUCGGUUACAAAUGGCCCCUCCCGCCCGGCUCGCCCGCUCGCUCGGGCUCGGCGCGGACCCGCCUGGGCGUGCUCGACCCGCCUGGGCGUGCUCCUCCCGCCGGCUCCAGGCGUCCCACCGCCCUGACUCCUGAGGGCGCGCCGGGCACCCAGCGCGGAGGCUCGCCCGCGGAGGUCGCCAAGGAAGUCUGGACCGCCUAGGCGUGUGGCUCGUCUACAGGCAGGUGUUCUUUCGAUCACAAUGGAUAGUGACUCUUCUCUUCUGCCUGAGUGGUUCAAAAUAAUGAAGGAUGAGAUUGGACUUCUCAGUUUGUGUCCAGAACAAGGAUGGAGAGGCUCAGCAGCACCGACAGGACCUCCUCAUGAAAUGGAAGUACAUCCAGGCUGAAGGCCCCUGUGUUCCAGGUGCUGUGUCGGUGCUGACUUGCCCAGUGACUCCAUGAUGGCUUCUGUCCUCGAGGUCACCAUUGACUGAGACAGACUGAGAGACACUCAGGAUCCUGGACCAGCUGAAGCCAGGGGAGGAAGCAGCCCGGCAGAUCACCUGCUGAUGGAAAGGAAGGCACCAUGGUAGUUAAGUGUUUCCAUGUUGGCUACCUGGUUUCUUUUCAGCCAGUCUCAGCUUUGGCUGGUUUGUAUGACUGCCUCAAAUCUUCGGAGGUCACCCUUACGUUUUAUCUGGAAUGUGUUCCCGGCUCUAGAGGACUGAGUCAGGGAGAUUGCUCUGCAUUCUUAAGGGGUUCCAUUUUGACCCUGCUCAUCCUCAGUAGACAUGGGAGCUAUUCCAAGCAUGGACUUGCAGGUUUGGGGACUCUGGACAGCAUACAAAUCAAGAGGUGAGGGACAGCCGAGGCAAAGUUCCUAACCAGAAUUUGCAGUAAGAACCAUCUCUGGUUUCUAUAUUUGACAACACAAUAAUGGGAUUCCCUGCAUUUCUCCCAGAAAAGCAUCAGUGGGGAAAAAACUUUGUUCUGGGAGGUGAAGUCAUCAUCAAAUACUAUGAAGGCCCAUCAGUGGACAUACUCAAGCUGUGGAGGACUCUGAGCAUUUGUUGAAGACAGAUCUACCAACACACAGUUCUCACUUCUGGCUGUUCUCUGUCCUCUCCACCUCAUCCAGCAGCACAGAGGCAUCUCUGUGCCCAUCGGCCCACCCAGAGACCUCCCCAGCAUGGUAUGGUGGGGCAGCUGGUGUUGUGAAUCAGGCCGUUGCCAAUCAGAGAACGGCUACUUCACAACACCAGGGCCGCACCACACUACAGGCAGCAUUCCGGCUCCAGAACCAGCAAGGGCACCCACUGGUGAGGCAGCCACACCCCCGCCACAGAGGACCAUCGGCUCCAGAACCCAGGCAUGUGGCUUUCCGGGUCUGGGCUGGCUGCUGCAUCGCCCCUGCAGACACUGGCUUCCUGAGGCUGCUAUUUAGCCCCCAACACAAACGCUCCACUUUUAAAGAAAAGGCCACUCCUGGUAACAUUAGCUUCCUACAGAGAAAAUGGAGCUACCAGGCUUCCCACUGUGAAAAUGAAGUUAUGGGCCAUCAUGAGGGUUCAGCGCCACUCAAUUGAACAUUUCCUCCUAGGUGCUGAAACACACAGUGGUUGCAGAGCUGGGACCUUUGUUUUGAUACUCGGUGAUGGUAGCUUUGAAUAGGCAAAAUAGAGGGAAGGGAGGACCUCGUAAUAGGAUAGGACGGUGGCCUUAGGAGCACUCCUGGAGAGAGGAAGGCUCUUUGUAGCCACAUAUACAGGUAAUGCAUCUAUUUCCUAGAUGGUCCCAGGGUCUCUGGAGAGCAAACACCUUUCUCAGCCAGGGAGAAUUCCACAGCUGUCCAUAAGUGCAUGUCCCAGUGACCUGAGGGCUGGACAAGAACCAAGCAUGGGACUGCUCCUAGGGCACUGAUCUGCCAGACACUCCAUCGGGGUAAUACUUUCCAUUACUUGUGCUGACAGAUGGGCUUCCUUUCUCCAGGUCCUUACAGCAUGGACCCAGCAGAGCUGGAAAACUAAUGAGGUCGCUGAGUUGGCGUAGCAUUUUGUGCCUAACUUAAAUCUUAUGUGUGACAUCACCAUUUUUCAGAGCCCAGGCCAGAGUUUUCAAGAUGGAGUGGCUAGGUUGGCUAGUGUCGUUUUCAAAACACUAAUAAAAAGCAGAAUGUUCCUCUCUCUCGCUUUCUACAGGACAGAGAUCCAGAGCCACUCUGAUUAACUUGGGCCCAGUCUGGGUAACCUCAGUGUUUGUAUAAGGUUCUUCCUGCUCUGAAAACCAAAAACAAGCAUCACACAAACCUUGCUUAGCACUCAGGUUACAUAGAGCCUGAGUUAACCAGAGCCACCUGCAUCUGUAUCACCUUAGAAUUCUGAAAGGCAAGGCUGCUUCUGUAAAGUUCUAUCCCUCACCCCAUCCCCAUAUCAUUAAGGGUAUCUCUGAAAUUUGUACUAAAUUAUGAUUGGGGACAAAUAUCUUCAAAACAAAAUAUGUUUUUAGAAAGGGCUCCUUGCUGUAUCCUGAGAAUUCAUCCAGUUACCAACUCCCCUACCACAAACAGACUCUAAGCUAGAGCCACUCACGGUAUGGUCCAUGGGCGGCAGCUUCAUCAUGCUGGAAAAGCAGGAUCCUAGGGACCACCAUGCACCUGCUGCAUCAGAAUUUCUGGAGGCCAACCCAGGCAACAUAGCAAGACCUCAUCUCUACAAAAAAAAAGUUUUUAAAAAUUAGCUGCAUGUGGCAGUACACUCCUGUAGUCCCAUCAGCUCCUCAGGUAACUGACGUGGAAGGACCUUUUGAGCCCAGGAGUUUGAGGCUGCAGUGAGCACAGAUUGUACCACUACACUCCAGCCUGGGUGACAGAGCAAGACCCUGUCUCAAAAAAAAAAAAAAAAAAAAAAAAAAAAUUUCCAGUGGGGAUAGCAAGCUGGUAGGAACUGUGUGUCACAGGCACUCCAGGAGAUGCUUCAGAACCGCUUCUACCCCUUUUGGGUCUCCCUACAAUCUCUCCGGCUUCCAUUCCAACCUUCUCUCUUCUACACAUUAUAACCAGAAUGUUCUUUUCAAAAUGUACUUCUAAAUCAUGUGAAUGCCUCCCACUCCUGGCCUUAGAACUGCUUAAAGAAUUGUCAUCAUACUAACUUCAGUGGGACCCAUGAAUGACAUGCACUCCCCUCCCCACUCCUGACGUACCCCUCUUCUCCCUUUCCAUAAGAUCCCUCUGGCCUCUGCCUCAGGGCCGUCAUUCAGCUCAGUCCUAUCUAGAAGGGUCCCAGCUGCCUCCAAACUCCAUCACUGAUACCUGACUGUCCUCCAGGUUUCAGACAGAGCUAACUCCCACUACCCAGAAGGCCAGAUCAGGUAACAGCUCUUCCAUGCGCUCAGCAAACUGAAUUCCAUCCCUUCAGAGAAUCAUCUCAUUUUGUCAUUACUCAUUGACUAGUGGGAAUCUUUGCUGAAUCUGUGUCUUUCUCACUGGCCAUAAGCUCCUUAAGGGCAGGGACAUCCAGCUUCAUUCACUGCUGUGCCCUCCAGCCUAGUUCAGUGUCUGACACUGAGUAGACACUGAAUAAAUCUGUUCAAUGAAUGGAUGAGCACAGCCCAAGCCCAGUGUCCUUCAAGGUCAGACACUCUGGCUCUUUGUUGAAGCCCUAGGUCUUUGAUCCUUUCAGUGGCAUCAUCGUUAAUAGCAGCAGGCACUUACAGAGUAGAAACUGCCAGGCACUGCCCUGAGCCCUCCAUGUGCAUUUAGCGAUGUACUUGGUGCCUCCAUUUCCUCCGCAUAGGCAGGCAGGUCAUGUAACCACCCUAUCAGGUAAGUACCAAGACCAUACCAUCCAUAUUGUUGGUGAUUUGUGUCACUGCUGUUUAAACCCAGGCACUCUGGCCCCAGAGUCCAUGUACUGAGCCACUGCUCCCUGCUGCUGAAGAGCCAGUGUGAAGGGGACAAAGCUGAUGAUGGAAGUCCAGGGCUGCUCCCAGGGACAGAGCAAAGCCUUCUCCAUUCUCAGAGGCUUCCACUUCUGUUUCUUAAACCAGGUAGACCAGGCAGUAUUCUCCACCUUGUGCAUUUGUAGAUUCUAACCUUGUUUAAAGCCCUUCAUAAUGGAACCUGAUUUUAAAAACCUAACAAAAUAUAAAAUGGGGUCAAGUCCAGAGAGAGAAUGAGAGAACCAUUUAAGAUUCAGAGGAUGCUCUACUUAAUUAAUUUUGGUAUUGAGCAGGCGAAUUCAUUCGAAGUUUGCACAGUGACCUUCAGAGGUGAGGCUGCAAAGGCAAACUGUGUCCCCUCCACCUGCCUCACCCCAACCCUGCCCAGAACUGUUUACUCAAGCCUAGCCUAGGGGGGAACAACCUUAGAGUGCCUCUUCUGCAUGCUUAGAUCCAGCCAGAGACUCACCCAGGGCAACAGACCUCUAUCCACAUUGUGGCUUCUUCUCCAAAGUGCAGUCACCUCACUGAGAACAGCCUCUCCCCUCCUUAGCAUUCCAGACCUUCCACUCAGGCUGACUUCUUAAUGCCACCUGGCCAGAAAGAAACAGAGUGUCCAUUCCCCCUUUUCUAAAACCUUGAUUUUGUGAUCAUUUGAAGCUCUGAGUUUAGAAUCUCUGUAUUAUAAUUUCCUUGGGAUCCUACCUUUGCAGCUAGCCACCUUCCAACUUAAAAGACUCUCUCAGGAGGCUCGUUGUAGAUAACAAAAACCCCAGUGAUGUAGGGAGCUUGCCAGACACAUACUUUUAUACCCGCCACCUUGUCUUAAGCUGGCUACCAUCUGCUGACCCCAGUCAGCUCUUCUGGGAAAAGCUGGGUUUGGAAAUGGAGUUCCCCGAGUAUAUUUAAUAUCACAUAGAGCAAUGGUUCUCAAAGUGUGCUCUCGGAGCAGCAGCGGCACCAGCAUCUCCUGGGAACUCCUUAGACAUGCACAUCCUCCAGCCCCACCUACCCUUACUGAGUCAGCAGCUCUGGGGUGAGGCCAGUGCACUCAACUUUGAGAACUACCAAAAUAGCAUAAAAGAUGGGGGAGAACACCCCUCAAGUAUCAAAGGUUAGAAGGCCACAAUAGUGGAGCAUCUGUGCCUGCCAUUUGCAGAAGUGUGGAAAGUUUAGAGUGUUUACUGUAUGUUGAAUAAUGAUUCUCUCAAAACUUUUGUGAAUUGUAAAUCUCUAGAGAUGCUGAGCAGUGAUACCCUGGCUCUUCCCAUUUUCACCUGCAUAUACAUGGCCAGAGUAUCUGCUUAUCCUUCACAACAGGGAGUUGGAAGGUAAAAGUUAUCUUCUGUCAAUAUAAAGUCUUAGAUUUUUUUCAUUUAUUAAAUUCUUAACACAGUAUAUGGCACAGUUACAUUUUAAAGGCCUUUCAUUUCUUUAAUCUGAGCCCAAACCAACCCCAUUUUAAGGAGAGGAAUGAGAGGCAGAGAGAUUGAGGAGCCAGCCUGUACUCCAGGGACGAGAGGCGUUACUUGCUGGAGCAGAGAUUAGAGCUCAGCAGUGCUCCCAGACCCACGCUUGCUUGCCCUUACUUUUGAUUUUCUACCUCCCUAAUGAACAAGUGGGGACCAUAAAUGUCAGCUGUGCCCAGUUUAGAGCACCUGUGUCUGAGCAAUAAAAAGCCAUUUGAUUGGCAGCCAACUUGGAGAAACCCUGACCCUAAAAGGUAAUGCCAUAAAGACCACACUGGGCAAUCAUGUAAUUUCAACUUGACAAAAUUUGUUGUACUUUUAUCUCUAGGUGGACUUCUUUUUUUUUGCUAGUGGUAGGGGCAGAUCUCCUUGUUUUUCUGGUAAUUCUUGCUAUACAUUUAUCUUAGACCUCAUAGGUGGUCUUUUACAUAUCCCUCCUCGUGAAAGCCAUAGCCAAAGACCGUUUCAACCCCAAGCAUCUCUCUCUUGGUAGGUACUGGCUUCAGGCAAGUGGCUUCUCUCUUUAAGAAAAUAUGGUAAUUUGAGUGUUUGUCAUUGCUAAGAGGCAAGCAUUCCUACAAACUCCAUCUCACCAACUGCAGUGAGACUGUCAGGAAAACUGCACAUCACUGCUGAAAUUUCAGGAAAAGUUUACAGGUCUCAAGGACAGAGCUGAAGUCAGAAAAUUUCACCUUCAUGUUAAUUUUUGAUAGAUUUUGUUAAAGGGAGGGGCAAAAAAAAUUGUUUCACCAUUCCCUUUGUUUUCUUUAAAAAAAACUCAGAAGAAACCUCACACACCAACCAUGUGAGAGUUCAAAAUCACUAUUUUAAAAGGCAUAGCAGGAAAGAAUUUUGAUAGAAAAGUAGAGCAAAAUAAAUAAGCAGUAAAACCUCAUCCCCAACCUUCUCCAGCUGCCUGACAUCCUAGUUUAGCUCUGGAGGGUUGGACCACUGCUCUCUAGUUCCAGGGGUUGGCACAGCAGCCAAAAAUGAGACCAGAGGCUGAGCCCCAACAGAAGAUGAAACUUGGGAGCAGCCUCAGCUCCAGGAAGCCUCACUUCCUGGCACAGCAGGUUUGGGUGCCGUAGAGCCCAGGGCUAGGUGCCUGCCAGCAGUCCAUCAGUCGUGGUCUCAGAUGAGUGGCACCAAGGUGGAGCCCACUGAGGCAAAGGAAGGAUCUGUGAGGGACACCUGCAGCCUGCUACAGAAAUGUCUGCGCCCCACACCUUGUCCUGCUGCAGCUCCAUCUCACAGUUGGAGAAGUGGAAGCAAAGCAAAGUAGCCUGCCCUAGAGCACACAGCCUUGCCCUCUGUUUCCAGAGCCAGAGGUCUUUGUGCUCUGGAACAAAGACAGUGACCCCCACUGACCCACUGGCACGUACUGUGUGCCAGGGACUUGGCCUGUAUUGUCUCGUUUCGGCACAGAGGUGCCCUGGGACUGGAAGCAGUGUCAUCAUUCCCAUUUUUCAGGUGAGGUACAGGCUCAGAAAGGUCACAAAACUUGCUCACGGUCUCACAGCUGGUGAGUAGGUCAUCAGACUCCAAAGAUGUGUGCAGCUAACUAUGCCCAAAGGGACUUCCUCCUCCCUCCUUCCUGGGCAGCUCACCAGAACACCCGCCAACAGGCAACAUAAGUGUGAUUGCCUUCAAAGUUUUCUACCUGCCUUCAAGCUUGAAACACGAGCCUGAUGGAAGAGAGCACUGGAAGUGGAAGAAAGAAAGAGCUAUGCCUUCCUGCAGUGAACCUCCAAGGUCAUUUCCUCAGGCCUGACUCCGACUGGAAGACGCAGUGUGUGUAUGUGUGUGGGCAUACAUGUAUGUACGUGUGUGCCUGUGUAAUUGACUUUGUGACUAUGAAACUGAGUUAAUACUCUUCUGUCUGCCUGUUUCUUCUUGUACAUUGCCUAGAGGGAUAUCCAUUACUGUUUAAAGGCACAGAACAAUAGAAAAUGACACUGUUCAAGGACUAAAACUUUUAAAAGACUGCUGACAUACAGCACAGAAUGUGAAAGCCCCUGGUAAUCUUAUCCCUAGGGAUAAGCACUCGUCAUUUUUUAUAAUUUGAAUUUUUUUAUGAUUAUAAAAGUUGCACAUAUUUAAAGAUACUUCAAAAAUAAAUUUUUCAUUGCUCAGGUUACCUUGGUACAUGCAAAGUCUAAGGCCACAUCCAUCAAUGCAACUUGCUGCAUGGAUUACCAGAUCUCCCCACCAUUGACCUCUUGAAUUUUUUACUCUGAGAGCAAACAGAAUGGGCAAGGACUGACCUGAUAUCCUUUUGAAACACAAGCUGGAUCCUAAAGCUUUGACCUCCACUGCUCACUGCCACAUGGAAUCCAUCUCUGUGCCCCACUCCACCCCAGCCCCAGUUGGCCUUCCUGCUGCUGCUCACACGGGCUACACCUAAGCCCUUUGCACAUGCUGUUUACUGCAGAGGCCUCUCUUCCUCUGAACAAAUGUGGGACCCAUCUCUGCCAAGGCUGGGAAGCAAACAGCCCCUGCUUUACCUUGCCAGCCUGUGUCUACCAUUCCUGUGGUGGCCUCUCCCAGCUGCUUUCAUGUGGCAUUUGAGCUCUGGGAAGCUGGAAUUUUGUUGAGUCCAUUUCCCUCAUUUUGCAUCUAUGGAUGAUAAAGCCCACAGGCGAGGGUUUUGACAAAAGGAAAAACGCCUUCCAUUUGGCAUUGUGAUGCAGAGGCUGUCUCAGACAAGCCUGGGAAUUUGGGAUAUAUCUUGCUGAGCCUAGAGACAGAAAAGAGCUUCUAGGCUGCCUUCCCUGAGUCCCGGGCCAGGCCUCUCCAGGACACACUUGCAUGGCACCCUGUUCUUCAAAACACUGCACACUAAUGACUGUGCAAAGGAUUAACUGACUUUUCAAUAUUCUUGUUUUCUACAAAGUGAAAAGCUUCAGAAGGACAAGGUAUGAGUCUGUUUUGCUCUUUUGCCUCUCCCAGCACAUGGCACAAUGCCCAGCACGUAGUGUUUUGAGAGACAGCUGACUGGCUGUCUCAUACAGGGCCCUGCUCUGUUGGGCAUAAGGGCUGCUUAACACAUUCCUAUGCUACAAAAGAUGGGCAGUGCUCCUCUCCUCCAGGAGCCACCAAAUAAAUUCAGAUACUAAUGCCAGAAAGAGGGCAGUGCCAGCUUGGGAAGAGAGUGCCUUGAUAAGGCACCGUUUCUCUCCAUGGAGACAGUGUGGAAUGAUAGGGAUGAUCUAGGACCUAGAGGAGCGACCUUAAGUCUUGCAGCCAAAAGCCUUCAUACCUGAGCCAGCCAAAACUGUUAUGUCAGAAUUCUCACCCAUGACAAGAAGUCUGGAGGUAUGGAGUCCAGAGUUGAUGCAUUAAUUUAAGGGUGUCAUCAAAAGCUUACACUUGACCCUUCUGCUGCACCACCCUUAUUACCUUGUGGUCACAAGAGGGCUACUGCUGUUCAAGUCAUCACUUCCACAUUCCAGAAGGAAGAAAGGAAAGUUAGAAGGGACAAAAGUAUCCCCUCCUUUUGUUAGGAGGCAUUAGCUUUCCCAGAAAUUUCCAUGUCCACCCAGCAGACUCCCAUUUAUAUCUCGGUAGGUGGAACUCCUAUCACCUGGCCAUGCCAGCAGUCAGGGAAGCUGGAAAGGUGAGCAUUCAGCUAUAGGGAGUGGAAACACACGCAGCAGGGGAAGACAGGUCAGUAACCGCUGUAGAGUUCCCUGGCCAGCAGCAUCUGCCAAAACUAAAUUAUUCAAAAUAACAUUGUUUUUCUGAAUUUUCUUAUUACAAAAGCAAUGCAUAUAGUUACUUUAGAAAAUAAAGAUUUUAAAUCUUCAACAAGCCCAUUACUCAGAAGUGACCAUUGUUCUUCCUGGUUUAUUAGCCAUCUAGAUCUUUGUAUUUUUUUUUAACAUGGAUGGAACCACAAUAUGGGUUGCUCUGAAAUUAGCCUUUGCACGUGGCAUUGUGAAAAAUCUUUCCAAGUCAUUAAAUGUUCUCUGCGGAAUUAC